GAAACACGGCCACAGUAGGUAACACGGCUAUUUACCCCAGACCGUGUUCCCAACACGGCCUUUAGCACGGCCAUGUUCCCAACACGGCCAGGAACACGGCCAUGUUGGCGGACAGGGGCGGAAAUGCUAUAAAUACCCCUUCCUUGUACCAUUUGUAAAUGGGGGGUGAGUGUGUGAUAUAUGAAGAAGAGAGCUUGUAGAGGGAGAAAGUGUGCUCAUUGUAAGUAACUUUAGUGUGAAUUAAUCAAUACAAGUAUACACUUCCACAACUCUUGCGUCUCUUUGUGCCACUUUCGUGAAUUUACUUCCGCUAGCGUAUUUGCUAUCAUUCUGCCGGGUUUGGCAAUCAAGGGUAGGCUGACUAGCUAUCUUGAAUUUCGGGGAAGUCAAGC
rnacentral:lncRNA from 1 species